GUAGGUGAACCUGCGGAAGGAUCAUUACAUUCAGUAGAUUUCUACUGUCGGGAGAGCGGAAAGUAACCAUGUUGGCGUUUGGUAACGUGGUUACAAGUACCUCUCUUUGCACAACCCUUGUCUUUUUGCGCACUCAUGUUUCCUCGGUGGGCUUGCCCACCGGCUGGACACUUCUAUAACCUUUUUAAUUCUCAAUCAGCGUCUGAAUAAUUAUAAUAAUUACAACUUUCAACAACGGAUCUCUUGGUUCUG
rnacentral:misc_RNA from 1 species